AUGAAGACCAAUCCUGAUCCACGUGUCCUAGCUAUAGCAAAGAAAGCUAGGAGGAGUGUUGUGCAGACCCUUUUGAUCAAGAUAAUUUAUGGCAAGGAGGUGUGCGUUAUGACCGGCUCUGGUUUCAUAAUGAAAAACAGAGGUUUCGAUGGCCUUGUGAUGACAAACAACCAUGUGCUCGAGUGGGAAAAAGAAGCCUUCGACAGAUCUCAAGAUAAGGUUCUUGUUAGAAUGGCCUGUGAAAAAGGUGGAGUCGAGCAGCGACGUGGCAAUGUAUUGUUUCAGGACCCGUUCGUUGACAUUGCUGUCAUUCACAUUGGAAAAUACAGUGAGCCACUGCCGCCGGCUCUAAGCUUCACUCCUCGUUCGCGCGAACUGCCAGUUGGGACGAGUGCGAUUGCAAUUGGAUACUGCGAUGCAGAUGAGUUUGCACCGCCAGGUGUGCAAGCGCUUGCCAGGCUUCCAUCUAUCCUGCCUGCCUUGAUUGCUGGUGAUGGAGAAAACCCCAACCCCGUGUCGGCUGGUGAAGAACUUUGGGUUCAGGUUGAUUGUCCGAUAAAGGAUGGCAGCUCAGGAGGACCUGUGUUGGGCGCACAUGGUGUAAUUGGUGUCAUGGCUCAGGGCAACGCACAGAUUACUGCCGCCAUUUGCACAGAAUCGGUACAUCAAGCGGUGAAACGGUGGCUCAAACUUCCAGCCAGGGACACGAGGCCUCUGCAGGAGAUCAUUGACAGAGCACUACUCUGA
rnacentral:rRNA from 1 species